AAAGAGAAACACUCUCAGGCUCAUUGACUGUAGCCAGUGCAAGAGGGCCAAAUGACAAAUACGGCUGUGUAAGAUGGCAACCUGACUUUCCCACAGAAGAAACGGAAGACACUUUGGAUGCAAAGCAUAAGGAAAUGAAGCAGCUUUAUUCCAAAGAAGGGCCUACAGGAGGUGACAGAGGACAACUCUCGCAGCUCAUGCAAGCAACAUUUUACUUACAGCGCUGUGCCAUCAACGCUAGCCCAGCACCUAAGAUAGCCGAGCUGAGGAAUAAGUGGCCAUACCUUUUCACACAGAAGGAACUCUACAACCACUUCAAGUUACUGAAAGAUGUCUCAAUCCUGGAAAAGAAUUAUGCAACGAUGGCAGAAAAAGGAAAGAUUAUCAUACAAUACUUCCUGUACAAACCAACAAAUGAAGAAGUUCGGCACAUCCUGUCAAGUUUUGAAAAGGGUGGAGCGACUGCAUUUAGCCAUUGUGUUGUCCUCCUGCUGAUGGCCCAUUUCAAAGAAAGGACAGAUGCACUCCUUCUACUGGCCGAUGUUUUACAUUCAUCUGCAUCUUAUGCAUAAGAUAAUAAUUUUCUAUGUAUUUUAGAAGACUGAUUGUUCAAGGGGACAUAAUGACUGGAUGAUGAUGAAAUGGAUGAUGAGCACUGAGAUAGAGGUGGUAAUGUCGGUCCACUCAAACUUUGUGGAAGCGCUGGCAGCUUUUUUUGCCUCAUUUACACCUACAAUCUGCAAUACCAAGAGGAGGCUUCACGCACCCUAAAGUUCAUCCAAAGAUGUUUUGCUGGAAUCAAUGCAUCCACUGGCUUGAAGACCGCCACAGCAGAGGUCAUCAGCAAGAAAAGCGGAAAGAUAUUGGAGAAGAGCCACACAAUGAAUGUACGUGUCUGUACUCUGCUCAGGAAGAUAAUGGACUUAGAAAAGCUAUAGGCUAGUUCCUAUUGGCCAUACAUUUAAUUUAUUUUUGUCAAUUGUGACCUGCUCAAGUAAGUUUGGUUUGUCACUGGGGUUGGCUCUUCUUUUGUGUUUAACACAAAACACAAAAGUGUUUUCAAGUGUUUGAAAAUUAUCCAGUAUGCCCUGAAAUUGACACAUUGUUGAGGAAGUAAUGCUAUUUUGGAUUUUUGGAAAUGUCUGGCAUUUACUCAACUUGAGUAGGCAACCUUUAUUAAAGCUUGAGCAUGUAGUUUUGGGAAGGGCAUAAUUAGAAAUCUGGGAAUAGGACAAAAUAUCCAUUGAUCUUUUCUGACCUUAAUCUCACAAUUAUAAAGUCUAAUUACCCUUCCCAAAAUGACAUACUCUGUGUUUAACCUGGGAGUGAAGGUAAUGACAAACCUAAGAUAAGGCCAGGCAGAGAGCAGGCCUACUACCCCUCUUAGCAGGAAACAAGAUAAAAAAAAUAUUUAGCUCAAAGCGAGGAAAUGUGAUUUUUGAGUUACCUGUGUGUGAAAAGUCAUUUUUAUUUCAAAAGCUAAGAUAUGUACAGUAUACCAGUGCUUUUCUUAUCUGUAAUUGUCACUUUCUAUGCUGGAACAGUUAUAAACAUGCACCUUAUUCAGGACGUUGAUAUAUUUUGAAAAUUGAUACACUUGAAACCUUUUUGUUGAAAAAAAAAUGGCUUUGCAUCUGAAUGCAGAAUAGCCUUGUGACAAACUAUCAGUAUUUGUUUAUGUCACAUACAAGCUACAAUAUCAUACCAAUACUGUUAAGAUUAACAAUUGUAUUUUGUCCUAAUGAAUCAUUUAAAAAUGUACACUUUUUGAUAGGUGCUUGGGGAAAGGUGUAGGUUUGUCAUUGAGGCAUUUAUGAUGCAGCCCAUUUGGCUCUAGUUUAUUGGCAUUUCCCACCUAGUAAUGGUGAAGUUGAACUAUGGGAGCUUAUUGAAAGUGUUUGAAACUUUUUUGAUUUGUUUACAUUAAACCAUGCUUACGAACA